rnacentral:rRNA from 1 species
AUGCACGCUGGCGGCGUGCCUAAUACAUGCAAGUCGAGCGAACAGACGAGGAGCUUGCUCCUCUGACGUUAGCGGCGGACGGGUGAGUAACACGUGGAUAACCUACCUAUAAGACUGGGAUAACUUCGGGAAACCGGAGCUAAUACCGGAUAAUAUAUUGAACCGCAUGGUUCAAUAGUGAAAGACGGUUUUGCUGUCACUUAUAGAUGGAUCCGCGCCGCAUUAGCUAGUUGGUAAGGUAACGGCUUACCAAGGCAACGAUGCGUAGCCGACCUGAGAGGUUGAUCGGCCACACUGGAACUGAGACACGGUCCAGACUCCUACGGGAGGCAGCAGUAGGGAAUCUUCCGCAAUGGGCGAAAGCCUGACGGAGCAACGCCGCGUGAGUGAUGAAGGUCUUCGGAUCGUAAAACUCUGUUAUUAGGGAAGAACAAAUGUGUAAGUAACUAUGCACGUCUUGACGGUACCUAAUCAGAAAGCCACGGCUAACUACGUG